CUCUACUAGAAGAAUGAAAAGGUGGAGCCUCAUGCUCUCUAUUGGUGGACUAAGAAGACUGUAAGAAAGCUGGAUGAAGGGUUGCAGCUACAUGAGAAGUGGCUCAGAGUAUUUUCUGAAAAAGUCCUGCAGUGCAGAGGAGUCAAACAUUUGAUCACAUGCAGCAGCACAAGAUAGAUGGAGUACAGCUGACUCAACAGCUACAGGGGAUUUGGAAUGGAAACAAUCACUUGCUUGAAGGAAACAAUGUUAUCCAACUUGUGGUGUCAGUCAGCCUAUUCCCACAGUCACUGCAUUGAUGGAGGAAAAUUUUGUUUAUAAAGAAGGGGGAGAUGUGUGGAAUCCUGCACAAGAAGCUGCACCAGUAGACUUGGACGAGAGCCCAGACAUCUGGACUCUUAUCAGCCACAAACCCUGGGAGAAGUGAGCGGGACAAGUCGGGAAGAACAGGAAAAAGAACAUCAGGUGGAACCGAAGAAAGAGCAUAAAGGUAAUUUCUGAGGACUGUACAUUUGGAAACAGCAGGAUGCUUAGGCAAGAUAAAGAAUGUGUAGUCAAGGGGAAGUGGAAAUGACAAUGCGGCGAGUAGUGAUAGCAGAGAACUAUGUUUAGAAAUAAUUACUCAAGCAAAGGCGUGUUGACAGUAAUGUGAUUGGCUGGAAGAGUGCGUGAUCAGUAAGACUUUUUUGUGAUCAAAAAGUAGCAAAAGAAUUAACUGCUGCUAAGCACUAGGCAGAAUACUAUAAAAACCUGUAAGCUCACUCAAUAAAGGAUUUUGUUUGUAGCCAGAAAUGGAAUCUAUGCCUCAGCUGACACAAGAUCAGGCAUGGCAACGGAUGCCAUCCCAUUGAAAGGACGACCCGUGUGCAGUAGGGAC
rnacentral:lncRNA from 1 species